GUGACACACAACUGCAGGGCUGCACGAUAUGACCUAAAAUCAAAAUCUUGAUUAAUUGCCCAUUUUUCCUCGAUAAUGAUAAAUGAACGAUAUUUUUUUUUGUGUUUUUGUUUUUGUCCUC